AGUCCUAUUGAUGUUGUAUACGCAACCUAAGUAAUUUGGGCCACUUCCUUCUAGUGGUGGCGUAUCCAUACCCCACGGGAAACCGGUUGGUAGAGAGACUUCCCUGAGCAUUGGCAUCGCGGAGAGAAAGCGUGCUUUGAGCGAGGGUCGGCAUUGCAGAGAGAAAAUUGACUACGUGUGAAGUUGCGACUACAACCACAUCCUACAAAAAACGGGUGCUUGCUUCAAGACGUCAUAUGAACCGGUGUUUAAUUGUGGAGUGCGGAAACUUCGCGACCAGCCGAAGGUGGAGGUGCCAGUGGGACAAGCUUCUUGACUGCAGCUCCAGCGUGCGCUGUGGUCACUGUUUCUCUCCCUGGAGAUUUGACUUGGACUGUGCGCGCCCAAUGCGCUUGAGCGUGCGGGUGCGUGUGUGACUGUGUGAGUGUCUGUGCACUGUGCGGUGCCUACACUCGGCGCAGGCCGCAACUCUGACAGCGUGUGAUUGUGUGUGU